rnacentral:lncRNA from 1 species
AUUGGAAUAAGUCUAUGACAUGCAUAACCCAUGAUUAUUAAGUGUUAAGUGCUAUAUGUUAAGUAUUUACCACACUCAUGCAUAUCUGAAUAAGGUAUACUUGAAUUACUCGACAUGAAAUACCUGAAAUAUGUAUAUUUGAACUAUUCGAUAUGAAAUGCUUAAAGAGCAUAUUUAUGUGAUUACUUGAAAUACUAGAUAUGAAAUGUUUGGAGAGCAUAUCUACAUGAUGUGUUUAAAUGAUUAAUUAUGCUAUGACAGCAUAAGUCGGUUGGAGUGAAUCUCCUCGACCCUUAUGUGGAAAAAGUGAAAAUCGGCCAAUGGUGGCCUAUUAAAAUGACAUAUGUCUGCCAAUUAACCGUAAUUACCACCGUUUACCGUUUACCGUGUUUACUUACCGUUUUCUAAUCCAUUCGGCUACUUGCUUACUUGAUUAUCUGCUUACGUGAUCACCAACUUACUUGAUCACUUGAUUAUCAUGAAUCGCAUGUUAUAUGAAGUUGUCCAUCAUUGUUAGGCGAGUGUAUACUUUACCUCACUCGACCUACUCAAAUGAUGAAUUUUACCUUUUGCCGAAUUACUUGAUUACUUGUGCAUGUUGUAAGCUCUAAGCUGAACUUGGGCCCUGCCUCGGUUACUGACCUACUCGAGCCAGGACUGGGCUCGGUCGGGUAGGUUGGAACCCUGGACAACCGUUUCGGUAUACUCGAGUAUUACCACUGGAGGGAUAAGGUGAUGGCCAGUCAAACCGAGGGGAUCCGGAAGUCAUAAGGUGCAGAUGACCGACAGAGUUCCACUGGAACACUGUAUCCUUCAAUGUGUGUUUAUUUUACAUAAUGAUAACCGUUUUAUGAAAACGUGCCAUACCUAUGAUAUGCUCAAAUUACCUGUACAAUGAUUAUUGCCUCAUGAUAACAUGCCAUUGUGUAACCUUGAACCAUGCGUAUGAUAUGCCCAACUUAUUUGAUUCAUUUGAACUGUUAGAGUGUCUUGGAACCUCACUGGGCUGUGUAGCUCAUACCACGUUGUGGAUUUCUUUUACAGGGUUCGAGACCAAGGGUGCUCGUGAGUAGUACUAGAUUGUUUUCUUUGGAAGACUUUAAGUUAUAUUAUAACGGAUGGCUAUAGUACCCCUUUUCCAUUGGGUUGUAUUUAAGCUUGAAAGCUGCAUAAUUGUAAGUGUGAGAUAUUCGAAGUACUUUAAUUAUGUAUUGAGGUUACUUAAAGUAUUUCGAGCUUUUGAAUGAUCGAUUGUAGUGAGUCCCGGCGAGAGCUGGGCAGGCGUCCCGCGGAUACCCUUUGGUUCGCCUUAGGGAGAAGUGGGGGCGUCACAGUUGGUAUCAGAGCUUAGGCUUCAGAUCUUUGUAGUGUAUCCUAGGCUUAAAUGUUUAGGAUGCCGGACUGUGGGACUGGUUUGAAAGUUAAAUGAUUGCUUGUAGCAAUGAAAUUUAGAGCCAAUUCACGUGGUCUCUACAAAGGAGCAAGAUAGGACCAAGUGGUGUUAUGGUCCUUACUAUGUGAUUGAGUAAAGGUUUAAGUGCCCUUCAAAAAAAAAAAAUGUAAGCUGUGAAUCAUGAAUGUUAUAGGUUGUAAAACCUUUAUCUUGAUAAUUGGAGGGAAUUUGAUAUGUAUGUUGGGUAGGAAUCUCGAAUGUGGUGAUUUAGUCUUGGGACCGGCCGGCUCGAGUUGUGAAUUACCUUAUUUCGGAUUCUUGUACCCGAGUACUUGAGAGUUGAGGGCAACCAUAAGGACUUUAUAUCUCCAUUUUUGGGGAAUAAGAAUGAAUCGAUAUUUCAUGUGAAUGGUUGCAGGAAACCAAUAAUUGUUUGGUUAAGAUGGUACAAUAAUUAAGAGUGGAAGAUGGAAAAUAUUGUAACUCAAAAGAUCCUUGUGUUGGGAUUGAAAUCGAGCAUGUUAGGGAAUGAGAAUCGUCUAGUUCCAAUAAUCUAGUGAAUCCCUACUUGUGAUCUUUUAUAGUGAGACGAUGGGAGUAGAACUUAGAGUCUGCGCCUUGAAGAUGAAUGUACUUGUGAUGAUCACUUGUUUAUUUUGCUAUUGACUUUGACUUGGCAUGAACUUUACUUGGCCAUAACUUGUUUUAUAAUUUAAUGAACUCUAGUUUGUGUUUACUUGCAUAGUGAUAAUGUUAUUUGUGUAAGUGACUUCAUUCUCUUUAAAUGUUGCUACUGGUAUAUGAGUAUAGUUCAAUUUUAACUAAGUGUGAGGGUUAUGCAUGUGCGUAUAGAUUAGUUGUGAACAUGGAAACUAGAGGACAACGAAAGGGACGUCAACCUAGACAACCCCGAAAUGAAAGAGUAGCUAAUGGGUCCGGUAUUGAUCAAAACGUUGAGUCAAGUGUUGGGAGAGGAAAUGACCAAAUGGGACAAGUUUUAACUCGCAUGACGGAUAUCCUGGAGCUCUUGGUAGCUCAACAAGGUCAAGGUGUUGGACAAGGAAACCAACGUGGAAACCAAGAGAUAGGGGAGGAUCGAGCUUUAGAGCGGUUUCAAAAAUUUUCCCCGCCCAAGUUUGCUGGAGGACCUGAUCCAGAGGUGGCUGAGAAUUGGUUAGAGAAUAUAAGAAAUAUAUUCGAUGCCUUGGAUUACACAGAGGAGAGACAAGUCACCUUUGCUGUAUUUCAACUUGAAGGAGCAGCCCGAGCCUGGUGGAAUGUUAUAAGAAACAAGUGGGAAAGAGAUCAAACCCUAAGGACUUGGAUAAACUUUGUACGUGAAUUUAAUGAGAAAUUUCUUCCUCCACUUGUCCAAGAAAAGAGAGAAGAUGAUUUUAUAAAGCUUCGUCAAGGAACUUUGAGCGUAGCUGAGUAUGAAACACGCUUUACAAAGUUAUCUACAUAUGCCCCAGAAUUGGUGGCUACUGAACGGAAGAGAAUAAGAAGGUUUAUCCAAGGAUUAGAUUUGGAAAUCCAAGAUGCCCUUGCUGCAGCACAGGUUGAAACAUUUAGUGACGCUCUCGAAAAAGCGCAAAGGGUAGAAAGCACAAAAUCUCAACUGAGAGCUCUCCAAGCAAGGAAAAGAGAUGCAUCUGAUAGUACACUAGGAGGAAAUGGACCACCACCCAAAGUUAGAAAAGAAGUGGAUGGAGUAGGACUGUUAUUUCCUGCACCACUCAUGAUAAAGGAACCAAAAGGAACUAUGUCGCGAGGGACUUCAGUAGAACAGACACGAUCAAAGAAAACCUCGCAAGCCAGUCAGGUCACAACACCUCGUCCGACUUGUGGAUAUUGUGGAAGGACGAAUCACAUUGAAGAAAACUGUUGGCUAAAGGGACGAAAGUGUAUGGGGUGUGGGAGUACCAACCAUAAAGUUCAUGACUGUCCAAGGAGGUAUCCACGAGAAACUACUGCUCCACAAGGAAAUGGAACUGUCCCUCGACAAGUCAAUGGAAGGAGAAACCGACCAAUGGCAUCAGAAAGAAAGCAUAACAUGAACACACCACAUGGUUCAGAGUUGUCUGAGAUUACAGAAGGUAUGAAUUUCGAGGACGAAAUUCUUUUAAGGAGGGGAGGUUGUGAGGACUCGUAAAAACUAUUAUUUUUUUAGCCUAAUUUGUGGCUUAAUAAAUUAUUUAAUUGGAUAUUUGCCUCGAGGAAUAUUUUCUAGUCUUAUUAGACCUAAAUACAUGGUAAUAUAACUUCGUUAUAUUUUUAAAGUAACUCAUUUCAUGAAUUAAUUUCCUGGAGCGCGUUUAGUAAAAACAGUGAAUAGUGCUUGAAGAUUUUAUCCGCUUGAGAGUACAAUAAGUUUGGAAUAUUGGAGACAUGUACAAUGGACCUAAAUUCGGUAUUUUAAUGUUUAAAUACUCAAGUGAUAGUUAUUAGUACUAUCGUUAUAAGAAUUUCCCGGAGGUUUCGCGUUAUAGCGUAAAAAAUUGACGGUACGCGUUUUCACACGCGCGACUUUAUUUGAGGGACUUUAGACCUUUAUUUCGGGACAAUUAAGAGUGAAUAUUAUCUACAUGAAUAUAAAUACAUUGGAGGUUUAGUGCACUAGUGAACCAAACGCGCGAGAAAAUCGAGCCCUAAUCGCGCCAAACGCACCCUAAUGUGAGUUGACUAAUGGGUGACUUGAGGCCACAAGUUAAUGUCUUCUCUUGGAAGCUAAAAUCUGAUCACUCUCUCUCUCUCUUGAGCUUCAAACAGCCGGCCAGCUCCCUCCUCUCUCUAACUCAUUUGCAACAAAAUUUCUGCUCACUAAUCUCACUCAAAACCACUCCAAAUCAUCUCCAAAAUUAACCAAACUUGCACCACACCUAGCUUGACACUUGAGGAUCAUUUUGAGCUGCAAACAAGGGCUGGAAAUCACGGUUUUUCUGGGGUAAUAGAGGGCCGAAAAUUCUGCUGAACAUCAACCCAAAGUAAGUGAUGAUCCACUCUUGAAAACUUGAAGUUUGGAAGCUAUCUUACCUUGUUAAGUUCAUGCAUGCAUUUGGUUAGCUUGUGUAUGGUGUAAAAAUGUGAUAGUGGGCUCUUGGAAUUCCCACACUUGGGUUAUUGUUGCUGAUGUGAUGAUUGAUGGUGAUUAUAUUGUUGGUUUAGUGGUUAUAAUGAUGCAUUAGUGGUGGGUAAUUAGUAGAAACUUCAUUGGGUGUAAGAAGCAAAAACUUCCGAUUUUGCCCCUGCCAUGUUCGGCCAUUUCCAGGCCAAUUUUUAAUGGUUUAAUGGCUUGAAUUAGAUGUUUAUAGGAUGUAUUAGAUGUGUGAAAAAUUUCAUUGGAAAAUAUUGAGGUUUGAUUGAGCAAAUGAAUUUUUCUUGAGAAACUAGCAAUCUGGAAAACUGUUCGCGUAUGAUUCUGACCAGUGGUAGUAUUUUGGCUAUAACUCUGUCCUCGGAUGUCGAAAUCAUGUGCCGUUGGUGGCGUUGGAAACUAGACAUUCCUGGCUUUAAUUUGGUAUAUAAUGCACGUUCUGAUUCUUUGUGAGCAAGCCGAACCAAAUGUUUUAAGUUCGCUGUCCUGUUGCUCUGUUCAUCUGGAAUGAAGUGUUCAGGCAGCAACUUGAUGCCCGAUUUUGAACCAGAUUGGUGCCGAAUUUGGAAAUGAUUUCUUCUGUGAUAUUUUACCCCUAUGAACGUAUUUUCCAACGGCGUAAGCCAUGCUCGAUUUCGAGUUAAAUUGACUGAGUUGUGACUGAAACAAGUGGACUGCUCUGUUUUGGAAAAACCCUAAUGUUGGACUGGUUUGGAACAAGAUAUUGGAGUGAACUUGUUAAUUGAUGUUCUUGAUACUAAACACUUACCAAAGGCAUUAUGGAUGUUUCUUAGGCCUUUAUUUCACAAAUGAACCAUGAUUGUAUAGUUUGCUUGAUUAGACGUUUUGAAUUGGGUAAUGAAAGUCUCAAGGCAGAUUGCCUUAUAAUUUUCCUGAACUUUGGUUGACUAAUUAACUAUCUUACCGAAAGUAUUUUUCCCUGAAAUUUGAUAGAGUGGUACCUUUCAUAUGGGAGUAAAAUACUGCCAAUUUUGGUACCAAUCCAAGUUCGUUUCGAUACCCAAUUAAAUUUCUAGUGUUGGAGGUUCAAAACUGGAAAUUCUUCUUCAGUCUUGAAUCUUCCUCAACUUGGGGCUACUAUAUCUUGGUGCUCGAAACUCCGUUUCUCAAUCCGCUUGUUUUGUUAUACUCUUGGAUUGCAACACUAUUUGAUUUCCAAAUUUCAAAGGUUAGUUCAAAACAAGUGAAUUUUACUGAAUUUCCAAAAUUGGCCAAAAACCAACCUUGAAACUGUCUUAGUAUUCUACAGCAGUAACUUUGAUCCAACUUUUGAAUACCUUCCAUUUCGAAUCAUGGAAAAGUGUCUUCUAGAAACUUGUAGUACUCGGAAUGUAGUUUCCAAUGGUAUCAAGCUUUCCAAUUUUGGACCUACGUAGUGCAAGAUACGAUUUUUCUAGAAUUGACACCCAAAGCUAAAAUUUGACAAUUUCUUAGAAAUGAGAUUUUGGAAACUUGCCUUCUUUUCUCGAUACCGAUUGAACAUUUUGAACUCGAUUUCAUGAAAAAUGUUAGUCUCUUUCUUUAGACUUUAAAACUUUACUCUUGAGCCUCGAUUAUUAAUAAUUAAGGCCCAAUUCAUGAAUUCCCUUUAGAUUGUACAACCUUCUUUGAUAAGUAGGAGUUCUAAGUGAUAGUGUAUAAUAGUUAAUGGUUAUUUGCUCAGGCGCUCAAGGGGACCUUCAAGAAGAACUCGAAGUGGACGCCUAGACACUUGUUUGAGUAUUACUCUCUUGUUGCUAUAGGUGAGUGUUCCAUAUAGGAAUACGUAAUUGGAAUAAGUCUAUGACAUGCAUAACCCAUGAUUAUUAAGUGUUAAGUGCUAUAUGUUAAGUAUUUACCACACUCAUGCAUAUCUGAAUAAGGUAUACUUGAAUUACUCGACAUGAAAUACCUGAAAUAUGUAUAUUUGAACUAUUCGAUAUGAAAUGCUUAAAGAGCAUAUUUAUGUGAUUACUUGAAAUACUAGAUAUGAAAUGUUUGGAGAGCAUAUCUACAUGAUGUGUUUAAAUGAUUAAU